GAUGAACGCUGGCGGCGUGCCUAAUACAUGCAAGUCGAGCGAACGGACGAGAAGCUUGCUUCUCUGAUGUUAGCGGCGGACGGGUGAGUAACACGUGGAUAACCUACCUAUAAGACUGGGAUAACUUCGGGAAACCGGAGCUAAUACCGGAUAAUAUUUUGAACCGCAUGGUUCAAAAGUGAAAGACGGUCUUGCUGUCACUUAUAGAUGGAUCCGCGCUGCAUUAGCUAGUUGGUAAGGUAACGGCUUACCAAGGCAACGAUGCAUAGCCGACCUGAGAGGGUGAUCGGCCACACGGGAACUGAGACACGGUCCUGACUCCUACGGGAGGCAGCAGAAGGGAAUCUUCCGCAAUGGGCGAAAGCCUGACGGAGCAACGCCGCGUGAGUGAUGAAGGUCUUCGGAUCGUAAAACUCUGUUAUUAGGGAAGAACAUAUGUGUAAGUAGCUGUGCACAUCUUGACGGUACCUAAUCAGAAAGCCACGGCUAACUACGUG
rnacentral:rRNA from 1 species